CGCACGAGUUCAGACUCGUGGCGAAUAGCUCAGUAACACGUGGCCAAACUACCCUUCGGAACACGAUACCCUCGGGAAACUGAGGCUAAUAGUGUAUACCACAUCACCACUGGAAUGAGUGAUGUGCCAAACGCUCCGGCGCCGAAGGAUGUGGCUGCGGCCGAUUAGGUAGACGGUGGGGUAACGGCCCACCGUGCCAAUAAUCGGUACGGGUCAUGAGAGUGAGAACCCGGAGACGGAAUCUGAGACAAGAUUCCGGGCCCUACGGGGCGCAGCAGGCGCGAAACCUUUACACUGCACGACAGUGCGAUAGGGGGAUCCCAAGUGCACAGGCAUAGCGCCUGUGCUUUUCGGUACCGUAAGGUGGUACCAGAAUAAGGGCUGGGCAAGACCGGUGCCAGCCGCCGCGGUAAUACCGGCAGCCCAAGUGAUGGCCGAUCUUAUUGGGCCUAAAGCGUCCGUAGCUGGCCGCGCAAGUCCAUCGGGAAAUCCACCUGCUCAACAGGUGGGCGCCCGGUAGAAACUGCGUGGCUUGGGACCGGAAGGCGCGACGGGUACGUCCGGGGUA
rnacentral:rRNA from 1 species